rnacentral:rRNA from 1 species
CUGGCGGCGUGCCUAAUACAUGCAAGUCGAACGGUCUUUCUAUGGAAGCUUGCUUCCACUGAGAAGAUAGUGGCGAACGGGUGAGUAACACGUGGGUAACCUGCCCAUAAGAGGGGGAUAACAUCCGGAAACGGGUGCUAAUACCGCAUAGUUUUCUUGAUCGCAUGAUUGGGAAAGGAAAGACGGCCUUUGUGCUGUCGCUUAUGGAUGGACCCGCGGCGUAUUAGUUAGUUGGUGAGGUAACGGCUCACCAAGACGAUGAUACGUAGCCGACCUGAGAGGGUGAUCGGCCACAUUGGGACUGAGACACGGCCCAAACUCCUACGGGAGGCAGCAGUAGGGAAUCUUCCGCAAUGGACGAAAGUCUGACGGAGCAACGCCGCGUGAGUGAAAGAAGGUUUUCGGAUCGUAAAACUCUGUUGUCAGAGAAGAACAAGUUGGAGAGUAACUGCUCCAGCCUUGACGGUAUCUGACCAGAAAGCCACGGCUAACUACGUGCCAGCCGCCGC